CUGGUGGUGAUGCGUUUAGGGGUAACACCCGUUCCCAUCCCGAACACGACGGUUAAGACCUAAACGGCCGAAAGUACUAUACUGGCAACGGUAUGGGAGGAUAGGUGGCUGCCAGAUUA
rnacentral:rRNA from 1 species